CCCUCAGGCAGCAAAGCAAUAUAGCUCAGCUAAAGCAGGGGUUUGGGGAGGGUAGUCAAUUUGAUUAACAUCACUGUCAAUAUGAUGGAUGGAAAUCCUCUCAAAUGAGUCGCCCAAUACCUCGAAAUCAUCGCUGGAAUAUUCCUUUCAUUAGGACACAAGUGAUAAAUUCACUUUAGAACCAGGUUGGCCUGCCCCAGGUUUCCCUUAACAAGGGAAAUACAGAGGCUUUGUCUCCAACACUUUGAAAUCCACGUCUCAAACCUUUUGAUUUCCCUGUCUGACGCACGAGUCUUGAUAUUCCUGUCUCAGAUUUGCCAAAACACUUCGCCUCUGUUUCCACCAAACUGCUUUUCAUGGCUGGAGGGGGCUCAGAGCCCCAGAAUCUCCUGUUCUGCCUCUCAAUUCAGCAGCAUUUACUUGCAUUAUGAGGAGGAACAAAACAAUCACCAGUGGUGGUUUUUCCUCCAAGUGAGGCACGUUCCAAAUGAGGUCUUGGGGCACUUUGGCAAACCAGCCUCAAAAAGGAGGAGGGAUUACAGGUCAGGUUCAGCACAGAAACUCCCAGAAGCUUUAGACACUCAUUGAAGGGUUCAACCACUGCCUCUUUGAAAGAGCAGAGACAGAGAGACUGAGAAAAGAGAAAGUAGGUGUGUGUGGUGAAAGGUGGCAGUUCUUGCACUUUCCCAGAGUAAUGCUGUAUUACUUUCAGUGAGACACUGCAUAUAAUUAACCACCAAGAAAAGAGACCUUCCUCCCCUUUUUUUUCGCCCUCUUUUGUCUUUUUAAUUAAAUUAUCUCCCGUUCUCAGUGAUGCUGCCAUUAUUCCACACAAUGUGUGUUCAUUAGAAAUGCACUUACACUUAUCAUAUCUUGAUUUAUCAGCUCUUCCCCUCAUUUCCACGCUCUGGAUUAACAGGCCCUGGGACAGAACACACUGAGGGAGUUCAGAGGAGCCUGGGAGAGGCUCCAGCCUCAACAACCCCACACGGAGCCCUUCACAGAGCCCACACAUGAGUGUACUACAACCAUUGUCUGAAGUCCCAGGCACCCUUUUUUUGGGUGUCUGGAGCCUUUUCUGUGGAGCAGCUUAAUUCUGUGAGUGAUUCAACCCUCUGGCUGGGUGGGCUGAUGGGACUCUGCAGUGGGAAACACAAGUCCCUUUGGAAUUCCCAGCAGGCCACUGACACAGGCAGGGAAAUAAGAACUUCUCGUUCCAGAACGAGCAAAAAGAAGCUCCUGGAAGGCAAUAAGUGUCUCCCCAAAAUCCAGGCAAAUUUAAAGCUGGGAAGCAGAACUUCCUUGGUGCAGGGCAGGAUGGAAUUUUCCCUUUCAGAGUUUUACCUGCAAGACGUUUUUUCCACCUUAAGGUGGAAAACACACCUGGGAUAAAAGAACCACAACAGAAUCUUCUAACGCCAGCAGAACUCCCAGAGGGGAGUUCAGACAACCCAAGGACUCACCCUGCUCCCUCUCAAGCCCUCUUUGGCCUUGCUGGGGGUGAAUCCCUGCAGCAGGAACGUGCCCCUGGGCAGAGGCAUUGGCAGGGAGGGCGUCUGGCAGGUCCAGCCUCGCCCGGGCUCGGCUCUCCAGGCACAGCCAGGUUUCCAUGGAGAGCAGGCAAGAGGAUUCCAGCUCCUGGGAGCAGAACUGGCAGGAUUCUGGGAGGUGAUGAGCAGCUGGGUGAGCAGUGGGUGUGAUGUGGAGCUGGCAGGGUCCCUCCAAAGCUCCAAAGUGUCCCAGGCUCCCCCCACCCUGUGCUGUGCAGAGCAGGGAAGAACAUCCUCAGGCAUCCGCAGCCUCCAGCCACUCUGCAGCGACAGGAUUUGUUGGAGGGCAGAACUGACAGGCAGGGAACAACAAUCUCUUAUUGGUAUGGGCUCCCUGAGCAGUGAUGGAAGGCAGGGUGAGUGCCUGUGACAGGCAGGGGCUGCGGGAGGUGUCGGAGGCUCCACGGAGCAAGCCAGGCUACAAAUGAAGAGCCACGGACAUGGCACAGCAGAUAAAGAUGUAAGUAGGUCAAGCAUCACUUUCUCGGGAUGGGAGUGACAUUUUGGCCUUACACAAAACAGGAGUCAUCUGUUAUUAUUUGGUUUGAGCCCAUUAAACAGGCUGGCUGCCACCAGCACAGCCAUUUGUAUUAAAAUCACCCUGAUGAUUCCUCAGCGCUGUGCUUGCUCUACAAGGUUAUUAAUUAUGCACCCAAUUUGACAAAGAUAAUAACACUCACCUGGCUGCAAGGGGGAAGGGGAGGCUGGAGGGUUACUGAGCUGCUUCUGCUGGGGAGAUCACACACACUGGGGCUGUUUGUCUUGAACAGAUGAGCAAGGAGCACAUAAACACACCCGUGGCAGUGAACAGCUCUGCAAAGCCUGCACUGCUGGUUCCCUGCACAGGCUGCAGCACAGGGGGCUGAGGAGCCAAGAAGAAAUGCAAUGAGCAGGUGGAAUCAGUGCCUGGGUGUUAAACACUGAGUGAAGGGGAUGGUGCCUGUGCAGCCAACUGCAAGCACUGCAGCCUUAAACAAACCCACAGCGCUCCACAAGUGGCUGCAAAGCCACUUCCCCACCUAACCCUGGCCCCCCCAGGUGCCAAAAUUCAGAAUUCAGCCAUGUCUAAACCACACCAAGGGUUAUUAUUUCUUUAUCUCUAGGCCCAGAACCUCUUUGUAGAGACGCUUUAAUUCGUUUGCAGUCCAAAGGAUGUAUCACUUGGGGUAUUGAUUUAUUUCUAAACAGAUGUAACAACUUUCUAGGCAGAGAUGCUGAAAUGAGUAGGAUAAAUCAAUUGAGAAUAUUUUUUCUGCAUGUCAUAAACCUGUUUUGCAUUCCAUAGAGGCCCAGGGUGGUUUUGUCCAAUGGAUUAUUCUUUUCAUUAGUGUCCCAUCAAAGCCAGACCAACCAGAUGACUGUUUCCCCCUCCACCCACCCCAAGAAAGUUAAAUGCUUAAAAUAACUACUGAUAGAAUUGGUAAUUCAGAGCCUAUUGUUUUUGAUAAUUAGCAUAUUAAAGGAAGUCAGCUAGAGCAAAAUAUCCAUUUAUUAACAGUAAUGAACCUUGCCUCUCUCUUAAAUACUUCAGGAUUAAAGACUCCCAAGGCAAAGGGAAUCUGCAGACAAGAGCAGUUCAUGGGGCCUGGGGUUCCUCCCCAAAAUGAUUUCCCAAACCACUGGAAAGGCCCAGCAUGAAGAAGUUUCUUCACUGGCCACACUCCUCCCAGGCAUUGUUGCUUUAAUCCAGCCCCUCUUGAUUCAAGUCCUACCCAUUUAAUCCAUGGAUAUGUUUUCCAAACAAGGUGAGGGUUUUUUUAUGCUGAAUACAUAUGGCACACCCACAGCUGAGCCUCCUCCCUGCCAGAGCCACAACCAGCAGGUUUUGGAGAUCAGAUGAAUCCCAGACCUCUCCCUUCCCAGGAUUCCUUUUGCUCUGCCUCGUGUGCAUCAGGAAUGGUGCUCCUGUUGCUAAUGGAAAUCACUGCUGGAAGAACUGGCACCGGGACAAUAAAUCUUUUAUCACUGCAAGCUUAAAUGGGGACUGAAAUCAUUCACGAAGCAGUUUUAUUUAAAAGUUGAUUAUUCAAUUGAAGUCGAUUUCAGUGACCUCAUUGGAGCCUGAAAAGAUUUACAGGGGAGCUGAGCACAGUCACAGGGGCCUUGAUGACUUCAUAGAGCUGCAGACAUCAAUUGUCUGUGACUCACAGAACUUCUCCCAAAUCCCUCUGCUCCCUCGCUCUGAACCAGACCUCAAACCCCAUCUCAGACAUGCAGGAUUGCUGGAGAUACCAGCAAAAGAUAAAUGCAGGGUACCAGGACUCUUGGAGAGAGAAAAAAGAGAAUGAAUUAAUGGAUUCAGCCAAUCUCGUGCCCAGAGGAAUCCAAGAGGUCCCUCCAAAUUCCACUGUGGGAGCUGUGAGACAGGAGUCACCUGAGGAGCCAAACCACUGCUGGGAGGGGGAGGAACACCUCAGUUAUGCCCCUUGGAUACAGUAAAAAUAGCAAACCCAGUUCA